AUUCAACUGACGAGUCCCGAACAGAACGAAACAUACGUCUAGGAU
rfam:Schistosoma rodhaini strain Burundi genome assembly, scaffold: SROB_scaffold0004098